rnacentral:rRNA from 1 species
GUUGAACGCUGGCGGAAUGCUUUACACAUGCAAGUCGAACGGCAGCACGGGGGCAACCCUGGUGGCGAGUGGCGAACGGGUGAGUAAUACAUCGGAACGUGCCCAGUCGUGGGGGAUAACGUAGCGAAAGCUACGCUAAUACCGCAUACGAUCUACGGAUGAAAGCGGGGGAUCGCAAGACAUCGCGCGAUUGGAGCGGCCGAUGGCAGAUUAGGUAGUUGGUGGGGUAAAGGCUCACCAAGCCGACGAUCUGUAGCUGGUCUGAGAGGACGACCAGCCACACUGGGACUGAGACACGGCCCAGACUCCUACGGGAGGCAGCAGUGGGGAAUUUUGGACAAUGGGCGAAAGCCUGAUCCAGCCAUUCCGCGUGCAGGAUGAAGGCCCUCGGGUUGUAAACUGCUUUUGUACGGAACGAAAAGGCUCUCUCUAAUACAGGGGGCUCAUGACGGUACCGUAAGAAUAAGCACCGGCUAACUACGUGCCAGCCGCCGCGGUAAUAC